GACGAACGCUGGCGGCGUGCUUAACACAUGCAAGUCGAACGGAAAGGCCCUGCUUUUGUGGGGUGCUCGAGUGGCGAACGGGUGAGUAACACGUGAGUAACCUGCCCUUGACUUUGGGAUAACUUCAGGAAACUGGGGCUAAUACCGGAUAGGAGCUCCUGCUUCAUGGUGGGGGUUGGAAAGUUUCGGCGGUUGGGGAUGGACUCGCGGCUUAUCAGCUUGUUGGUGGGGUAGUGGCUUACCAAGGCUUUGACGGGUAGCCGGCCUGAGAGGGUGACCGGCCACAUUGGGACUGAGAUACGGCCCAGAAUCCUACGGGAGGCAGCAGUGGGGAAUAUUGCACAAUGGGCGGAAGCCUGAUGCAGCAACGCCGCGUGCGGGAUGACGGCCUUCGGGUUGUAAACCGCUUUCGCCUGUGACGAAGCGUGAGUGACGGUAAUGGGUAAAGAAGCACCGGCUAACUACGUG
rnacentral:rRNA from 1 species